rnacentral:rRNA from 1 species
CCCUUAGAGUUUGAUCCUGGCUCAGGAUGAACGCUAGCUACAGGCUUAACACAUGCAAGUCGAGGGGAAACGACAUCGAAAGCUUGCUUUUGAUGGGCGUCGACCGGCGCACGGGUGAGUAACGCGUAUCCAACCUGCCCACCACUUGGGGAUAACCUUGCGAAAGUAAGACUAAUACCCAAUGACAUCCAUAGAAGACAUCUGAAAUGGAUUAAAGAUUUAUCGGUGAUGGAUGGGGAUGCGUCUGAUUAGCUUGUUGGCGGGGUAACGGCCCACCAAGGCUACGAUCAGUAGGGGUUCUGAGAGGAAGGUCCCCCACAUUGGAACUGAGACACGGUCCAAACUCCUACGGGAGGCAGCAGUGAGGAAUAUUGGUCAAUGGACGAGAGUCUGAACCAGCCAAGUAGCGUGCAGGAUGACGGCCCUAUGGGUUGUAAACUGCUUUUAUAAGGGAAUAAAGUGAGUCUCGUGAGACUUUUUGCAUGUACCUUAUGAAUAAGGACCGGCUAAUUCCGUGCCAGCAGCCGCGGUAAUACGGAAGGUCCGGGCGUUAUCCGGAUUUAUUGGGUUUAAAGGGAGCGUAGGCCGGAGAUUAAGCGUGUUGUGAAAUGUAGACGCUCAACGUCUGCACUGCAGCGCGAACUGGUUUCCUUGAGUACGCACAAAGUGGGCGGAAUUCGUGGUGUAGCGGUGAAAUGCUUAGAUAUCACGAAGAACUCCGAUUGCGAAGGCAGCUCACUGGAGCGCAACUGACGCUGAAGCUCGAAAGUGCGGGUAUCGAACAGGAUUAGAUACCCUGGUAGUCCGCACGGUAAACGAUGGAUGCCCGCUGUUGGUCUGAAUAGGUCAGCGGCCAAGCGAAAGCAUUAAGCAUCCCACCUGGGGAGUACGCCGGCAACGGUGAA